UUUUGGACAAUGGGCGAAAGCCUGAUCCAGCCAUUCCGCGUGAGUGAAGAAGGCCUUCGGGUUGUAAAGCUCUUUCGCCAGGGAAGAAACGAUGCAGUCGAAUAAACUGUGUUAAUGACGGUACCUUGAUAAGAAGCACCGGCUAACUACGUGCCAGCAGCCGCGGUAAUACGUAGGGUGCAAGCGUUAAUCGGAAUUACUGGGCGUAAAGCGUGCGCAGGCGGUUUUGUAAGUCAGAUGUGAAAUCCCCGAGCUCAACUUGGGAACUGCGUUUGAAACUACAAGACUAGAAUAUGUCAGAGGGGGGUAGAAUUCCACGUGUAGCAGUGAAAUGCGUAGAGAUGGGAGGAAUACCAAGGCGAAGGCAGCCCCCUGGAUAAUAUUGACGCUCAUGCACGAAA
rnacentral:rRNA from 1 species